rnacentral:snRNA from 1 species
UGUAUCAAACGACAUUUUUCUC